AUCCGCCCUGUUUGCAUCCCUAGUCGUGCUGGAAACUUGCAGGCACAGUGCAUACUGGACUGUAUCAAUGUGUGCCGGUUACAAAAAAUAAUGUGUGCCGACACACAAUGGCAUGAAAUAUUUAUUUUCUUUAGCAAUAAAAUAUUCUAACUGUUUAUUAUGUAUCUUUAUCAAAUUUUUGAACUUUAUUAAAAAAAUUAUUUUCUAAUUUAAAGAAUAGAGGGUUUUGAACUGCACCAUCAGCACGGAGACUGUAUCAUGCCGAUAUUUUGUUGAUAAGAUACAACACUUUAAAUUUUUGCAAUUAAUCACUUACUCAAUAUUAAGAGAUC
rnacentral:lncRNA from 1 species